rnacentral:rRNA from 1 species
AGUGAACGCUGGCGGUAGGCCUAACACAUGCAAGUCGAACGGCAGCACAGUAAGAGCUUGCUCUUACGGGUGGCGAGUGGCGGACGGGUGAGGAAUACAUCGGAAUCUACUUUUUCGUGGGGGAUAACGUAGGGAAACUUACGCUAAUACCGCAUACGACCUACGGGUGAAAGCAGGGGAUCUUCGGACCUUGCGCGAUUGAAUGAGCCGAUGUCGGAUUAGCUAGUUGGCGGGGUAAAGGCCCACCAAGGCGACGAUCCGUAGCUGGUCUGAGAGGAUGAUCAGCCACACUGGAACUGAGACACGGUCCAGACUACUACGGGAGGCAGCAGUGGGGAAUAUUGGACAAUGGGCGCAAGCCUGAUCCAGCCAUACCGCGUGGGUGAAGAAGGCCUUCGGGUUGUAAAGCCCUUUUGUUGGGAAAGAAAAGCAGCAGGUUAAUACCCCGCUGUCCUGACGGUACCCAAAGAAUAAGCACCGGCUAACUUCGUG